rnacentral:rRNA from 1 species
CCUACGGGAGACAGCAGUGGGGAAUAUUGCACAAUGGGGGAAACCCUGAUGCAGCGACGCCGCGUGAGUGAAGAAGUAAUUCGUUAUGUAAAGCUCUAUCAGCAGGGAAGAAAAUGACGGUACCUGAGUAAGAAGCCCCGGCUAACUACGUGCCAGCAGCCGCGGUAAUACGUAGGGGGCAAGCGUUAUCCGGAUUUACUGGGUGGAAAGGGAGCGUAGACGGCAGUGCAAGUCUGGAGUGAAAGGCGGGGGCUCAACCCCCGGAAUGCUCUGGAAACUGUACGGCUGGAGUGCAGGAGAGGUAAGUGGAAGUCCUAGUGUAGCGGUGAAAUGCGUAGAUAUUAGGAGGAACACCAGUGGCGAAGGCGGCUUACUGGACUGUAACUGACGUUGAGGCUCGAAAGCGUGGGGAGCAAACAGGAUUAGAUACCCCAGUAGUC